GAUGAACGCUAGCUACAGGCUUAACACAUGCAAGUCGAGGGGAAACGAUGAGAGAGCUUGCUCUCUUAGGCGUCGACCGGCGCACGGGUGAGUAACGCGUAUCCAACCUACCCAUUACAGGGGGAUAACCUUGCGAAAGUAAGACUAAUACCCCAUGGCAUUUUAUGGUGGCAUCAUUAUAGGAUUAACGAUUUAUUGGUAAUGGAUGGGGAUGCGUCUGAUUAGCUUGUUGGCGGGGUAACGGCCCACCAAGGCAACGAUCAGUAGGGGUUCUGAGAGGAAGGUCCCCCACAUUGGAACUGAGACACGGUCCAAACUCCUACGGGAGGCAGCAGUGAGGAAUAUUGGUCAAUGGGCGAGAGCUUGAACCAGCCAAGUAGCGUGCAGGAUGACGGCCCUAUGGGUUGUAAACUGCUUUUAUAGGGGAAUAAAGUGAGCUACGUGUAGUUUAUUGCAUGUACCCUAUGAAUAAGGACCGGCUAAUUCCGUG
rnacentral:rRNA from 1 species